CGCACUUUCCCGGGCUUUUCGCGCGUCGCUUGAGGGAGUACUUACCGUCCCAGAAAGCUCAGGUUGCCAGAACAAGCUCAAGGUUGAAAAGUGCUCAGUAGGACCAGGCAUAGUGUGGGCCUCUUCUCUUGUGGUUUCACUUGCCAAUGGCUGCUAUUUUGACAAUUGUCAUGAACACAGAAUCAUGCAAUAGCAGCUGUAGAUUAAGAAGACUGAACAUUUGUGAAUUGAGAUAGUGUUGUGAUAAAUGAAACAAAAAAUUAAUUUGACAUACUUCAGAUAUAUUUAAUUUUUCUGCUGGAUGAUU